rnacentral:snRNA from 1 species
GACAAUUAGCUCUUUUAGUGUAUGUCCAGUAGGUUUUCUCAUGGAGAAAGCCAAA